rnacentral:rRNA from 1 species
AGCCUGCCCAGUGACUAAGUUAAACGGCCGCGGUACCCUAACCGUGCAAAGGUAGCGCAAUCACUUGUUCUUUAAAUGAGGACUAGUAUGAACGGCAUCACGAGGGUUAUACUGUCUCCCUAUUCCAAUCAGUGAAACUGAUCUUCCCGUGAAGAAGCGGGAAUAAAUAUAUAAGACGAGAAGACCCCAUGGAGCUUUAAACUCAGUACCACCUGCUAUUUUCAAAUCCUAUUAAUCACGCAGACAUGGUAACUAGUUUUCGGUUGGGGUGACCGCGGAGCAAAACAAAACCUCCACAACGAAAGGAACUAACAUCCUAAUCCAAGAGCAACAUCUCUAAGAAUUAAAAAAUUAACUUAAUUGAUCCAAUUACUUGAUCAACGAACCAAGUUACCCUGGGGAUAACAGCGCAAUCCAUUUAAAGAGCUCUUAUCGACAAAUGGGUUUACGACCUCGAUGUUGGAUCAGGGUAUCCCAGUGGCGCAGCAGCUACUAAAGGUUCGUUUGUUCAACGAUUAAA